AGCAAGAGACUUGUUUAGUGAGGAAAGGAUUUCAACGACAGCCACAGUGUGUGUGUUUUCAAUGAUUGUGUGUGUGAUAUAGUGAUUGUGUGAUGUGUGUAUGUGUGUGUUUUUUAAAUGUGUGUGUGUGUGUUUUAAUGAUUGUGUGUGUGUGUGUGACUAUCCUCACUGUGGAGCUCAAGGAGGCACUCACUCACAGUUCACAUGCACUCACAUCAGUCGUGCUCGCGUGUGCACAGCUUUUGUCUCACAUCCGGACUGAAACGAAACUGAAGCAAACGCCACACGAUGGUACUCGAACUCUCAGAUAAAACUUGAAAAUGCAUGCUCGUGGAUAAGAGAUAAGAUAAAAAUAAAGCAGUUCAACUGUUCCCUUGUACGAGGAAGAACAAUGCCUAUGGGACGCUUGACAAAUAAAUUAAAAGAUCAAAUACUAGGUACACAAUAUAAAUUGUUUCGAUAAUAAACAGCUAACAUAAAUAAACCAAUUAAAACGCACUGACCAACAGAGGUUGCUUUGUACUAAUUCAAAAACGGACUCAAUCAGAACGCACAAAACAUUUCUUACAAUCAUAUCAAACAAAUCAUGAUAAAUGUUGAUAGCGAUGUACUAUUCUUCUGGCAUGUCAUCGCAGCGGACAUUGUCCUUGUCUUGGAUUCUAUCCACAAAGCAUCCUUGAUUGUUUAUGUUGUUCCAUAAUUUCCUCGGCAAUACAUUUUUCUCGCUCGCAGUUUCAAACUAAAAAUCUCCCUUUAGCCUCACAAAAGUUUUCUUGCCUGUUUCCUUAAAUGCUGCUAGUCGUCUGUUUGCGUGUUAUGGCAGGAGAUCAAAUUUUAAAUAAAAUAAAAUAAAAUAAAAAUAAGUUUUCUCUCCAUCAACACUCUACUAGACAGCUACAUCGCCAUCUGCCCUCGGUCUUUACCAGCGACUGGCUGCAGGCCCACCACUUCACAACUACGGCUCGUCGAUGACUAUUAUGGAUGUGAAGUGUGAAGUGCCGACGUACAUCCGGGAAUACACAAGUAUGAAUGAAGAACAAUCAGAGCUAACAGAUGAUAGGAGCAAGGACAUCAAACUGUGAAAACAACACAGGGACAACACAGACAAGACACUCUAGGUUCUACUGCAGAAUGCAUCAUUCAAGACGACGAAAGAAUAAUAAGAAAUGAAUAAAUGUGUACUGAUAACACUCAGCAUCACGAUCGCACUCUCUGCGCUGACCAGUCAUGAUAAAUGAAAGAUAUAAGACAGUGGAGGUGCGCUAAGUUCAGCUCAUCCCAAAACAGUCGUAGGACAGCUCUGAUGGAGAACAGCCGUGGUGAACAGCAGCUGGAUCGGUCUUCCACCCGACUGAGAAGGUCCUUCAGUUCACUUCCAUUAUGGCAACGCCUAAAAAAAGAGAGAGAGAGAGAGAGAGAGAGCCACCCAAUCCAGCGGCGAUCCAGCUCUGAACGCCUUGUAAAAAACUUCAUGAGUUGAAAGUACUAAAGCAACAUAAUACAGUGAUUGUGGAGACUUGAAGACAAGACUUGCUUCUGUCGUCUAAAAUUUUCUUCCCGUGUGCUGGGGAGUUGCACGGAGGGGUGGAACGGUUUGGGAGAGUAAAAUUGUUUUCAUUCAACUUCAGAUUACAGCGGUUUGCGUAUGAACUACACACUACUACUCAUGUCAACCGUGAGCUUCACUUAAUAAUUGUAAAGGUUUUUAACACAUAAUAAGUUUGUAGUAUUGAUAUAGUGACUUCUUUCUUUGUGUCUGCAUGAUAUAUUUUAUAUAGGUAGAUGAUAUAUGCUAGGAAAAUUAUGUUUCCUCUCUUUCCUUUCUUUAUGUGUGUGUGAGAGAGAGAGAGAGAGAGAGAGACAGAGACAGAGACAGAGACAGAGAGAUUUGGCAGCACAUGGUAGUGAGAUUUUAAAACAGUAGAUACAACAUCCCUAUCAGACCUGUGCCCAAUGUCCCCCAAUCAAGGAUUUGUUUCUAUAAAAAAGAAUGUUCAUUGUGCACUAACUGUGUGGACUGUAUACCUUGCACCACCUGUCACACGUGUUAUUUUGAAAUCAAUGUCUGCUGCUGCACCUUUCUCACUUUCCUCCGAGGGUGGUAGUGAUGUGGAAGCUGAUGCUGUAAGAGGUUUACUAAUGGCAUUCAUGCUUGAAUGGUUUCACUGACUAUAGUAUGAAUGGUGUCAUGUUGGGAUCUGGCUGACUGAACGCCGGUCAUGGUGUGAAACCCUGACAUAAAAUGUCGACUAAACACCUAGUAUAUUGCAUAUCGCUUUCAAGCACAAUUUUCUUAUUUUGAGCUUGUUUGUGUUUACCCGCUGGAAAAGCAGAUAAUGCAAGAACUAAAGUUUCUCAUACCUCCCUUUUACUUAUCGUUGCUAUAAUAGAUAAGACAGCAGUGAUGUUUUCAACCCAUCUCUAUGCAUCCUUACAUCUCAGUAAAAGUCUCAGUGACUAACAGCCAAGACCCUAGCUUCCACUUUGACCGCCGACGAGUUGUUUUCAUUUUGUUUGUCAUUUUGAAGAAUUGCUUGAUGUUACAUGUAUCUUUGUUAGUGUUUUUAUCUCACCCGCAAGCCACUGUACAGUGGGCGCGUGACAAUCAUACAGUUAAUUAAUAUCUUUCACUAAGUUAAAAACAACGAAUAACAACGUACAUGUGCAAAAGGAAUGUUCGAUCAUGUGUCAAGGUGGGAAUGACUAUGUAAGACUCCAAUCCUAAAUGACUAAGGAAGAAUAUUAAUCAGGGCUUCUGCUAAGGCUAAAUUCUUUGGGGUCCCAGGGACCCCUUCUUCAGAUUUUUAAGGGGUCCCUGUUUUUCGCCCAAAUUUGAAGGGGACCCCAUUGACGAAAAUUGAAGGGGUCCUCUGAACUUUUAAUGCGUACUGUACGCAAUUUUUUGCGUAAGCAGAAGCCCUGAUAAUGUUCUAUAUUUUUAUCUUAGUAUUUUUUUUAGACAGAAACAUGCAAAUUAGUUUUCAAAUUAUAAGGAAUAAUCCAAAUUAAUACAAAUUUCAGUGUUUCUUUGGCAGUACUAAAAUGUUUUCACCAACUUAAUUAAAUUUAUAGAUUAAUAAUUAUUGUCCACCUCGCAGCGAAUAGGGUUAGUAAGAAUUUAGAGCAUAUCUACGUAGUAAACAUUUAAUUACUUAUUUACUUAUCUGUAUUUCUUUUCUGUGUAUUUGAUGCAUUGUUCUACAGAUAUUCUGUACAUUUCUUUAUUGUGUAAUACAUUAUUGUUUACAUACA
rnacentral:lncRNA from 1 species